GACGGAGGUCUCUAGCGUUGUUCGGAAUUACUGGGCUUAAAGCGCGUGUAGGCGGAGUGACAAGUACCUUGUGAAAUCCCCGGGCUCAACCCGGGAAUUGCUCGGUAUACUGUCAUUCUUGAGGCAGGUAGGGGUCACUGGAACCUUAGGUGGAGCGGUGAAAUGCGUAGAUAUCUAAGGGAACGCCUGUGGCGAAAGCGGGUGACUGGGCCUGUCCUGACGCUGAGACGCGAAAGCGUAGGGAGCAAACGGG
rnacentral:rRNA from 1 species